AUUAGUGGAUCGACGUUUAGCUGAGAUUGAAAAGAAAGUGGGUCAACAUGGAACUGUAGGUCACGGAAAAGAUUUUAAAAAGGUUACAGACGAUCUUCCAUUCAAAAACACUGCUGAUAUACAAGCGUUUGAAAACAAAUUGGCUGAUGCAGAUUUUUGCAGUACUUUUGUAAAGUAUGUUGGACAAAUUGGCGGGAACAGUGCCAAAGAAAAUACUUUGAGAAUAUUGCGACAAGUAUUCACCAACGACUUCGCUAAAGACGCUUCAUGGUGCGGUCUGAGGGCCAAUUUUCAACUUUCAAAUUUGAAAGUCACAGCAGCCAUCAAAGAUGGAGUGAGACUGUCAUACACCUGUACAGAUAAAGAAUUUGAAGAUACGGUGUCAGAAUGGUUCCGCCAAGCUAAACAGCGGUUCAAGAGAGAGAAUACAAAAAAGAACGGACCUCAACCACAUCCUGCAGCUAAUAAUUAGUACAGAUGAUGACGCGCUAAACCAUGACAGUUUCCAUAAGAUGCCCCAAACAGAUUUAUGGGGUACAUAAGAAGGAGAUGCAGGUCUCAUUUCCCCAUUAUCUUGCCUCGUCUUCGUACCUUUCUAAAUAUCUAACGUUUACUUUGGUAGUCUAUACCAAACAAUUAAAGACCUGGAAAGUACAAAGUACAAAGAUUUAUUUUAUAGUUUAUUCGUGUUCAACGUUGAGAAAAUUUUUUACUUAGAUUAUUAAGA
rnacentral:lncRNA from 1 species